rnacentral:lncRNA from 1 species
UUUUGUUAACUGUUGAGUGACUCACAUUACCUGUUGUCUUUCAUGUAUGAAAAUUAAUAUCAAGCCAUAUUCUUACAUUAUACUUCUCCUUCCUUUGCUCAGCUCAGUUAAAUGAGCUGACGGUUAGUGUUUUUAUCAAUUGGCAAUUGAUAGUCAUUCUGUUUAUUACCUCUCUGGUGUUCUUUCUCUAGCUUCGACACAUCGAUGCUUGUUUAGUUCUUGUUAUGUACUGUAUGUAGUAUAAAAGAAAGACCAACAUGGUUCUAAAAUCUGUCUAUUUGUUGCAGGUCCUGACAACAUGAAGCACCUCGAAGAGGAUCGCCGAGGAGAUGCAGAAGCAGGUGGCUGCUGCAUGCGCCAUCCAGCCCAAGGAGGAGAACGACUUGGAGUUUGGAUGUAUUAUGUAAAUUUGGGAGAUGUAUUAUGUGAACCAGUGAGAUGUAUUAUGUGAAUCUGGAAGAUGUAUUGUGUUAUGUAAACCUGAGAGAUGUAUUAUGUGAUGUUAUAUGAUGGAUGAUUUUAAUUCGA